rnacentral:lncRNA from 1 species
GGAGAGGCCACAGGCAGGCGUGUCUCGUAACGGAGCGGGAAAAUCCCCCCCCGCGCGUCAGCUGGGAGUCCGCGGAGGCCUUCGGAAGGGCUGUUAAAAUGCGAUAGUCGCCGCGCAAAGAAAUGGAGGGUUACGUUUGGGUGCGCGGCAACGGUUUCUGAGAGGGAAUCCGUUUCUGAGAGGAAAACGUUCGGGAACCAGGACGUCACAGAAAAUACAUUUCUCGCACUGAAAGGGUAGAUGAAAGAUCUCCCCUCCCCUCCCCCCAAGGCAAAGUCUGCAGGAAGGGGACCACACUAACUGUCAGGUACUGGAUUUCCCCCAAGGCUUUGCUGUUUCUUCAGAUUAACCUGUCGCUCUCUGCCAUCCCCCUUCCAUUGGCCUGACAGAUGGGCUAGACAGAGGUGUGUGAGAUCUCAGCUUCUUAGAUCCAUGUCUUGGAAAAAAAACAAGAUUUAAAUCAACCUUCUCCAGGGACAGCAAAAGGAAUUACAAACACUAACAAAAGCAAAGCAAACAACAGGACCAGUCCUUUAAAAUUUGAGAAACAACUGUUUCUGAAAACAGGAGGAAUGACAACUAUUCUCCAAAAUGCAUCUUAAAAGUGAAAAGAGCAGAAGCUUAUUUUUAAAAGCUUUUGAAAUACUUUUUUACAUGUUUGUGUAAGAGAUUAAAAGCCUGUUAAACAGUUUUCUCAUUUCCCCGCUUACAGACCAAGCCAGUUGGGAUACAAAUAGACAUUGUAUUACAAAUAUUUUUCAUUUCUAAGUACUUUUUUUCUUCCUUUUUUUAAGAAUCUUUCAUCUGAGGCUUUAAAACGUACAGGAUGCUGGGAGCCCGGUGCUUACUACUGGAAAGGGAGUUUAUCCGCCAGGAUCUAACAGGAGCAAAUUUGCUUUGUGGUGUUAAGUUUCGGGUUGCACCAUGGAAAUGUUCAAAUCAGAGCAUGGAUCAAACUCCUCAGCAUAGCCCAGUGAAGCCUCUCCCGGCUUCUUUAGUGACCAGCUACGGGGAAAGCACCAAGUCCUCGGAGAGCUGCGGCACAUUCAGCUUCGUUGUUGCUGUCAAACUCGCAGAACAGUUGAGGUUGGGUGGUGCCUCUGGAGACUGCCCAGUCCAAGCCCUGCUCCAGCAGGGCCAGCUCGCGCAGCCUGCCUAGGCCUAGCUCCAGCUGAGGUUUGACCAUCUCCACAGAUGGCCUCCACAGCCUCUCUGGGCAGCCUGUCCCCAUGUUCAGCCACCCUCACAGCGAAGACGUGGUUUCUCGUGUUCAGUCUGGAGGACUCUGUAACCGGCCUUCCUUGGAGGGAUGCAUGGGGCCAGAUCCUACCUGGGCAACUGGGACAACGGGGAUGGCAGCCACGCCUUCCUUGGGCAGUGGCGCAGACCUCUGGCAUGCCUCGAAGGGCUCAGAGGUCCCAGGACGUUAUGGGACGACGGCAGCCACGGCAGGCACCGCAGACACGAGGUC